AACUGGGAUUAGAUACCCCACUAUGCUCAGCCAAAAACAAUGACAUCCACUUACAAAAGUUGUCCGCCCGGGAACUACAAGCAUAAGCUUAAAACCCAAAGGACUUGGCGGUGCUUAAGAUCCCCCUAGAGGAGCCUGUUCUAGAACCGAUGAUCCCCGUUAAACCUCACCCCCCCUUGCCAACUCCGUCUAUAUACCUCCGUCGUCAGCUCACCCCGUGAGGGCACUAAAGUGAGCAUAAUUGCAUAGCCCAAAACGUCAGGUCGAGGUGUAGCCUACGGGGGGGGAAGAAAUGGGCUACAUUCUCUCCCAGAGAGUACACGAAAGAUGGACUGAAAACCCCAUCAAAAGGAGGAUUUAGCAGUAAGGGGAGAACAGAGCGCACCCCUGAAACUGGCCCUAAAGCGCGCAGGGAGAGUGACGGGCGGUGUG
rnacentral:rRNA from 1 species